rnacentral:rRNA from 1 species
UACGUAGGGUGCAAGCGUUGUCCGGAAUUAUUGGGCGUAAAGAGCUCGUAGGCGGUUUGUCACGUCGGCUGUGAAACCCUGGGGCUCAACCCCGGGCCUGCAGCCGAUACGGGCUGACUAGAAUUCGGUAGGGGAGUCUGGAAUUCCUGGUGUAGCGGUGAAAUGCGCAGAUAUCAGGAGGAACACCGGUGGCGAAGGCGGGACUCUGGGCCGAUAUUGACGCUGAGGAGCGAAAGCGUGGGGAGCGAACAGG